GGAUUCACUAUUCAGGACAUAUUUCGUUUAUUGAGAUAGUCCUAAUUAGUAUCUUUGCCAUUUGAUGUAUAAGAUUCAUCCAUACAUCGAUUCAUUUGUCCUGAAAGAUUUCUUCCAAAGAUUGACUUUCAGGGCAUAUUUCCAACAAUCUCCCACUUGCACUAAAGUCAAUCACUAGUGUAUCUCAUACAUCUUGUCGAGAGAGUUUAUGCUCGUAGGUUAACUUGGUUAUGUAUUAAUCUCUUUUAUUAAAAGAGAUUUACUUAUCAAAUGUUUCCAAGACAUUUGAUGAUGUCUCUUUAAUGUGUUCGAAUACUUUGAUGAGACCUUGAUUCCAUGGCUUGAGCUAUCGCCCCAUUACGUCGUAGUACUCUACUAACGACCUUAUGGUUUGGAUUCAAUCAUGGGUUCUAAAAGAACCCCUUUCAUUCAAUACACCUUUUGAAGCAGUUUCUAAAACUAUAUAUCGACAUAUAUUUCGUUUGUAUACUUUAUACAAACUUUGCUCCAAGCUUGAGACCAUUGUAGUACAAUACUAACAAUUCAUUCAUAUGAUUAGUACUUCAUCCAUCAUGAAGUUCCAUUUGUUAAAAUGGCUUAUUUUCACUUUGGUUAACAACCUAAGUGAAUGCACGCUUCCAGAGUCCCACUCUGAUGUUUCUUUCUUAAAGGCAAUAAUACUCUAUCAGUUGCUUUGGUUCUGAUCCUGGGAUAUAGUAAUAUCUUAAAGUGAUUAACUCAGUGGUUUCUUCACCUUUGGAUAUCUACUUCACAAGUCAACACAUGUGUCCCUUUUGUGAUUUUAUGACACAUUCAUUAUAAGGGUUGUGAAAGUGAUUUCUUAUCACAUAGGAAAAUGCUUUCUUAAAUCUUCAACAUUUGAGAUUUAAUUCCCAUAUAACAUUAUUGAGAUAGCCUUGCUAUAUCAGUAAGUCCAAUUUCAAGUCUAUACUUCAAAAUUGACCGUGUCAUGUUUUGUCAUUUUCGAGUAACAUCUAUGUUUCAUCAAGUCUAUCAAAUAGACUUUAUUCAUAUCUUGUUGCUCAAAUUAUGACAUCACUCCCACUGGCCUUGUUAUAACUUAGCAUUCAUUCAAAAAAUAACACUUAAAUUUUCUUGAUUUGAAUGCGUGUUGCUCCCAUUAACUUGUCUUGGAUCCAUUGAGAUCCAUUAGCUUAUUGAUGAUAUCUCAACAAUUUUUGAGACCAUCAACAACCCUAGCUAACACAAGUUAUUUAAAUGAAUCACAUACAAAAGAAUUCCUUCUAAAGUAAUUCCUUUUGAAUAUGUGACUUGUUUUAUCAAGUCUAUUCAUUUAAUUAUACGAUGUCAUACACCAUACUAUAAGUUUUAGUCAUACUAAGACCUUUUAAUGUAGUGAUAUAAGAAUUAUCUAAGUCUUUAGUGGAAGCAUGGCUCCUACUAAGGAUAUAGAUACUCAACCAUUCCUUCUAGGUGGUUGAUAUAAUUCUCUAUCAAAACUACAUAGAGCAAUAUCGUUACAUGAGAUGUUGAAUUUGGAUUGUCUUGUUGUUAAACCAUAUGUUGUGACUCAUUUUGAAACUUAUUCCCUUUUGUUUCAUCAACUUGUCCAUAUGCUUUGUCAUUAGCAUGUUCUCAUAAAAGAGAAUGAUGGACAACUCCCAACAUAUAACCAUUUUAUGCUAGGUUGACGAAACCAACAUUCAAAGACUAUUCUUUAAAUGUUACACAACAUAGAAUUUUAACGUUUGAAGAGCUUGAGUCCUUUUAACAAUUAAAAUUACAAACUCUUAAUAAUAGUCAAGCACUAUUAUUCUUUAGACAACUAUAAACCAAUCACAUUCAAGUUUAUAUCCAUUUUCACACCUCCCACUAUUUCUC
rnacentral:lncRNA from 1 species